rnacentral:rRNA from 1 species
GAUGAACGCUAGCGGCAGGCUUAACACAUGCAAGUCGAGGGGUAGAGGAAGCUUGCUUCCUUGAGACCGGCGCACGGGUGCGUAACGCGUAUACAAUCUACCUUUUACAGAGGGAUAGCCCAGAGAAAUUUGGAUUAAUACCUCAUAGUAUUUUCGGAUCGCAUGAUUUGAUUAUUAAAGUUCCAACGGUAAAGAUGAGUAUGCGUCCCAUUAGCUAGAUGGUAAGGUAACGGCUUACCAUGGCAAUGAUGGGUAGGGGUCCUGAGAGGGAGAUCCCCCACACUGGUACUGAGACACGGACCAGACUCCUACGGGAGGCAGCAGUGAGGAAUAUUGGACAAUGGGCGCGAAGCCUGAUCCAGCCAUGCCGCGUG